UGUGGGAAAGUCAAGGGGCUGCUACCAGUACACAUCUCCCACUCUAAGAGGUCACAUGCCAAUGCUCCUCCUCACUGCCCAGGAUCACUGUCCCUACAGACCUACCUGCUGUUGGAUUGAGUGGUUGGUCCCUUAUCAGCUUCACCAGAAUGAGCUGAAGUUAAACACAAAGCUUUUGUUUUGGUGAAAGGGCAACAAUUCACAUCUUCCUGUGUGUGCACAGCUUUGUUUCAGCUGUGAACUUAGCAGAGAGUUUCCCUGGGAAUGGCUUUGUGUGUGCAACUUUUCUGUAAGAAGAGACAAGGAAGGAGGGAAUGGAACAGGGAACCUGAGCUAACCGGGCAGACUGGAGAUGAAUGACCUACACGAAUCCUUGGCAUCAGCCAGGCGGAGUUUCUUUGAAAUAAAUUAUGCAAUAGUGCAAA